UACGUAGGGUGCAAGCGUUGUCCGGAAUUAUUGGGCGUAAAGAGCUCGUAGGCGGUCUGUCGCGUCGGCUGUGAAAUCCCGAGGCUCAACCUCGGGUCUGCAGUCGAUACGGGCAAACUAGAGUAUUGCAGGGGAGACUGGAAUUCCUGGUGUAGCGGUGAAAUGCGCAGAUAUCAGGAGGAACACCGGUGGCGAAGGCGGGUCUCUGGGCCGAUAUUGACGCUGAGGAGCGAAAGCGUGGGGAGCGAACAGG
rnacentral:rRNA from 1 species